GAGUUUGAUCCUGGCUCAGGAUGAACGCUGGCGGCGUGCUUAACACAUGCAAGUCGAACGAAGCACAGUUGAUUCUUCGGAAUCAAUUGUGACUGAGUGGCGGACGGGUGAGUAACGCGUGGGUAACCUGCCUUAUACAGGGGGAUAACAGUUGGAAACGACUGCUAAUACCGCAUAAGCCGACAAGGUCGCAUGGCCUAGUUGGAAAAGAUUUAUCGGUAUAAGAUGGACCCGCGUCUGAUUAGCUAGUUGGUGAGGUAAUGGCU
rnacentral:rRNA from 1 species